rnacentral:misc_RNA from 1 species
UGAUAACACGUAACAUUCGUUUGACCCAUUUCCCUCUUAGAGCCGAUAUUAUCGACGUAAAUCAGACGUUGGAAAUUUCGAGCAGUCCGCUCUGUAUAUUUGGCGUGCUGUAGGACCUGUAGAUUAAAGGAGGGGAAGGAAAAAAGGGGUUGAGGAAGGGAGAAACAAAGAUAGAAACCUCGGUGAGAGGCGUGCCAGAUAGAACCGACGCGAUGUUGAGAAAAUGAACAGACGCACGAAGGUGACAAAGGAAGGUAAAAACUCGUGUUGGAGGAAUCUCGUGGAAGAGGAAAGUACUUAUGUGUAUGUUGUACAGGAGUUCACACAUUGGAACACGAUGCGUUCUUUCCGCCAUGAUGGAAGCUCGGAUUAACAGAUUCUUUGAAAAUGUCCUGAAAGAUAACAAGAGGCGAAAGAAGAAAAAGCAGCGUUGCCACCAGUCGGAAUUGACAAAAUUAUCGGUACACUUCAGUGGAUAUCGUGGAAGCCGAGAGACAAUACAGCAACUUUUACCUUUGUCGAGAGUCGUCGUCUCAUCGAUGGCCAUUGUGUCACGUUCGAUGACAGAGACGUGUGUAUUGUAUACUAUGUACAUAACAUAUACGCUUUCACAUUCGAAAAUUGAAAAGGAAGCUUGAAAACAUGCGAGACUCAACUCCCUUUAGAAUGGAACGUCUUCAUAGGAAUGCGUAUUCACCAACAAUUGCACUAAAAUUUUCAUUAGAUUAGAAAAAAUGUAUCGGGUGUUUUGAAUGUGGAAUACAAAUUAAUCUGUAACAUUUUAAUAUUAAAUACAUGUCCAUAUUUCUAACAUUAAAGAUAUACAUAUAGCACUUUACUAUAGUUUACUAGUUAUAGUAGUUUAAAGUAUUUUAACACUUAAUGUAGAAAUUAAAUGAAAAAUGGAAUUUCCAAAUUCCAUAUAACACACACAUAAUACAUAUAUUCAAAACAGUAUUUUCAAUAAUUAGUCGUAUACUUUUUGUAAACUAUUGUAAAUCGUAAAUGUCCAUAUAAAAUUGAUAUUUCUUAAACGCUCUACAAAAAAUAAGAAACUUCAACAUUUUGAGGUUAGCAAGGAAUUCAUAUCACGAUUAUUUGCAAUUUGCCUCGGCCGCGAGAACAAUUUAUUUAUUAUCCGGCACGUUCCUUAAUCCAAUUUCAACAAAGUUGCGAAAUAUUGCCGGCUGUGAGCUAAAUUGUAAUCAAACGGGUGAUCGUUGCGUAUGAUACACGCGUUUGCAUGCAGGCGGGCAUAGUUCUAAAUUAAGGCGAUAACCAGUACUAUAUUUGGAUAUCCUCCAUCAACGUACAGCGAUAACGCUGGAAUCGUUCUCUUUGUCAAAACUUCCUACCAAUUCCUGAGCGAUGCAGAUUUUGACGCAAACACACACAGGUUCGUGCAUUCGCGAAGUCAUUGACUCCUGUUGAAAAAAAGAAGAGCAAAAAAACCCUGAAAAUAGUAACCAGCACAGGGUAAAGCAGGAAAUGUGCCACGUCCCACUUGGCAGCACUCCUGAUUUGGAAAUGUUGCAUACGUAAGCGCAAUAAAGGAAAUAGAAACCGAGCGAGUGAGGUUAGGUAAGCAGUGAGGAUGAACGAAACGGGAACCGCUCCUGAAGUCCAAUUAAAUUAAC